rnacentral:rRNA from 1 species
AUGACUAACCCUAACCCUACUACUAAUAGCCUUUAUGAGUCUUGUGGUGAUGCAGGAAGAAUUCGUGAAGAAAUCAUCGAAAAUAGCGAAGAAAAUACGGCAGCAAAUCCAUAUUUUAUGUGCCCUGAGCUGGGGAGAAAAUCUCCCUUGGGAUCUGCCCAGGAGUUACCGUGCAGCGAAUCCACCUUGGGAUCGGUGCCCCCCGCCCGCGUCAGCCACGCGGCAGAAUUCGGAUGGCCGCGACGACUCCCCUCGUCCACACCAAUCACCGUCCAGCAGAUGGCAGACUGGUGCUGGCCUGGGCCGUGCGUGGCCUGA